GAUGAACGCUGGCGGCGUGCCUAAUACAUGCAAGUAGAACGCUGAAGGAAGGAGCUUGCUCUUUCCGGAUGAGUUGCGAACGGGUGAGUAACGCGUAGGUAACCUGCCUGGUAGCGGGGGAUAACUAUUGGAAACGAUAGCUAAUACCGCAUAACAGUAGAUGUUGCAUGAUAUCUACUUAAAAGGUGCAAUUGCACCACUACCAGAUGGACCUGCGUUGUAUUAGCUAGUUGGUGAGGUAACGGCUCACCAAGGCGACGAUACAUAGCCGACCUGAGAGGGGGAGCGGCCACACUGGGACUGAGACACGGCCCAGACUCCUGCGGGAGGGAGCAGUAGGGGAUCUUCGGCAAUGGACGGAAGUCUGACCGAGCAACGCCGCGUGAGUGAAGAAGGUUUUCGGGUCGUAAAGCUCUGUUGUAAGAGAAGAACGAGUGUGAGAGUGGAAAGUUCACACUGUGACGGUAUCUUACCAGAAAGGGACGGCUAACUACGUG
rnacentral:rRNA from 1 species